ACAGACACUAACAAUAAUUAUUCAUUAUAAAACUCAAACGUAUCAGUGUAUUAUAUUUUGAUUAACUUCACUUAAAUAUCAUACUGUAGUUUUUAAUUUGUAAGAUGGUAUAUUUUAUUUGUAUUACCUAUCCACGGAUUGGACAAGAAUAUGACAGUAAGUGGCCCACUCGAAGAUAAUGUUUACCCAAGUGACCUGCUGAAGAAAAAUGGUUGGACAUCACUAUGUAAAUAGUGAAAAAAAAACAGAAAAUAAUGAGAGAAGAAUUCGUUAUUAAUUGGAGAAGAUACCAAUUUGGAUAUGUUUUAUAAAUAAAACGAUAGAUUAUAUUAUAACGUGUAAGAAUCAUUUUCAUCAAAUUAAUU